rnacentral:lncRNA from 1 species
UAAAAUAUGAUAGUGGGAAACGACUGCGACGUACGGCCAUCACAAAGGCCAGGAAGUAAUCCGGGAACAUCUCUGCAAUGAAUGCCACUAUUUAACUCCCGCCCAGAAAGUACCGCACGCUGCGAGGAAGUAGAAGAGGAACCCAGAGAAUCCUCCGGAAAGGCCGAUUGCCCAGAAGGUUAUAAGACAGAAGCUGAGGGAAAGGACGAUUAAUGCUGGGAUUGAGAUGAAAGAGCGAGCGAGAACGUAUGAAGAACGUCGAUAAGCAUUGUAAGCAGUUUCCCUCACGAAAAUAAAUCUUUCUUUGAUGAACUCUAUGGUUUCCGUUGUGCAGGUGAAGAAACCGGUGCUUAUGGAAAUUGCUAAGCAUCCUAAUCUACCUUGGGCUCCUCUUGGGGGAAUCAUCAAGCUGCCAAAACGUGGUGCCUAGCACAAGUCUGGUGAUGAUUAUCAUCGCUAACCGGAGUUUAUUACUAGCCUUUUGAGGGAGGGUGAAUCUACCAGGGAUGACCUAGAGAAGCGGUUGGCCCGACCCGACUCACACAAAAAUUUAAGGGUAAACUACUAUAAAGGUCAUUAAACUAUCAAUAAGUUUCCGUUUUGGUCAAUCAAUUUCAAAAAGUUAUAAAAUGGUCACUGAAUUAUUCGAAAGAUUUUAUUAAACUCACUAACCGGUUAGCGAGCUCUAAGUGAUGAUUCGACGAUCGAUAUGGGGGAUCAAUACCCAUCAACGAG